GAACCCGGGCCCAUAGCAGUCAAAGCACUUAGUCGUAACCACUGGACCACCAGGGAAUUCCUGGGAGCAAGAUUUUAAAUGUAGAGAUUUGAUACUAAAACUUUGGCUACUCCUGUGCAGAGAGGUUCUUAAAGAGUUCAGCCGUAGCUGGAAUUUGUUAGCAAGUGGCAUGUGGGAUCUUCGUUCCCCGACCAGGGAUGAAACCAGCGCCCCCUGCAGUGGAAGUGCGGAGUCUUAACCACUGGACUGCCACGGAGGUCCCUUAACUCUCUCCUUUUAAUUUAGGUAGUUCAAGAUUCCUGACAUUCAAAACAGCUGGCUUUUAAUACACUGCUACUGCAUCAAAUCGACGAUGAACUGGAAUGCAAAAUCAGAGAGUGUCACCUUACCACCACAGUAUCCUAAAAAACAGGCAUCUUUUUUGGAGCAAGCUUUAGUAAACACACUUACCACAGCAUCUCAAAGUUCUUUAAACCAUCCUGGAAGUAACCAAGAACCAUGCCUAUUUCUCAGUAAUUUAAAUCCAGUUUCACAGCCGCUGCUCAACAUCAGAAAUUAUAAAACUCCUCAACAAAUCCCUGUUUCUGAUAUGCAUAGUGGGACCAUUGUGACCUCACAAACUUCAGUAGAAAGAAUAACAUAUGCAAAUGUUAAAGGACCCAAACAACCAAAUCACGAUUUGCAAAUGUCUUCAGGAGUUACACAGGAUGUAUGGUUGAACUCACCAAUGAGGAAUUCUAUGCUUUCUCAUACAGGGGCAACUGUAUCUCAUCAGACUGGUUUUGGAACGAAUAUGUCCAAUGUACGUGCACUACAGAAUCAAUUUCUAACAUCAGAUACCUAUUCUAUGCAACUACAAAUGAUCCCUUCUAAUUCCGGAAGAGUUCCUAUAACUUAUCAAGGAAACCCGAGACUUAACCUACCUUUAUCAGAGCAACAGGUUGAUUGGGCACAGCAGUGUGCAUCCAGUGGAUUGACUUACCCAGAUUACAGACCACUUCCAAAGCAAUAUAGUUAUUCAUCACGAAGCUUUUUGCAGGAUCCUACUCUUCAGAAACAAACCCCUAUGUCAUCUGUAUCAUUACAAGUUAAAAAUAGUCAAUCUCCAAAUCCUGCCCUGACUUUACAGUCAAAGCAGAUUGCAACUGUACCGUCGUAUCAAUAUGUAGUUACUCAAACUGACAAAAGACCUCCUCCUCCUCCUUAUGACUGUAGGUAUGCAAGUCAGCCUCUGCAAAGUACUCAGCAUGUUGUUAAACACACUUCUAUGGAAGUUCCUCAGAGUCAAGAAAUGCACUUAUCUGAAAUGAGAAAAGACUUUUGUAGAGGCUUUCAGCAGCAGUGGCAAAACCUUAAUGAAAAUUUCAACACAGUGGGAAAUUCCUGUAACCUGAGAGUAAAUACCAAUGUCAAUCAGCCUUUUAAUGAACCUGUUAGAUCUUCUGUGGAUGGUGUUCAGGCUCUUGCUCAAAAUAAUCAAGAGAAAAGAGUGGAUUCUCGAAAUCUAACUUCAAAUCAAGUACUGGACACAAGUGCCACAAAAGAAAAGUUAGUGAGGGAUAUUAAAACAUUAGUAGAAAUAAAAAAGAAGUUUUCGGACCUUGCAAGGAAAAUUAAAAUUAAUAAAAAUCUUUUGAUGGCAGCAGGUUGUAUUAAAACAACUAAUACCUCUUAUAGUGAAUCAGCUCAAAAUUGUGGGUUGUCUCUGAAACAAACUGCCAAAAUCCAGUCUGGACCACAGGUAACCCUAGGCCCUCCAGAUGCUGUGGAGGAUAAACCACCAACGGUAAUGGAAUCUGCAGAAGAAACAAAUAGAACACACAAUACAUUGAAUUCCAACCUUCAGGACGGAAAUUUUAACCAAGUCAGUUCUGUUUUACUAAAUUCUGGCUGUUCGCAAGUUGUGAGUUCUUUAAAGACAUCAACUGUUGAGAUUACCCAGGCAAUAUUAAAUAACACCCAAUUUUCAUCAGGAAAUUUAGUCAACGUUGCACAAAAUGUGCCAACAAAUUCUGAAGCAACUUCUCUUCCUCAGUCUACAUCCUUUGAGGAAUAUGUUUCAAAAUAUCCAAAUAAAAAUAGGCUAAUUCUCAGUUUACUUGCAUCUGGAAAUAAAACUCAGAAAAAAUUAUUAAAAGAUACUAAUGAACGUAUUCAUGAUUCUAAACUGCAUAGUUUUGAAAUGAAUCCAAAUAUCCAGAACACUGGUAACCAAGUGAAUUUGAAACCCAUGGAAACUCCAGGUACUCCAAGUACUUGUAAUAUAAAUGCCAAGAUUUCAAACAACUCUUCUUACUUUGAGCAUAAAUCCUUCAAUGGAAUGUCUUCUAAAAGUGACUCUCACUUUUCCAUGGAAUUGCUGGCAACAUGUCUUUCUUUGUGGAAAAAGCAACCUUCAGAACCUACAGAAGAAAAACAGUGUAAUGAGUCAAAAACAAACACAACAGCAGUUGGAAUUUCAAAGCCUGUGGACAUCUGUGAGAAGAGUCCAUUUUCAGCUGUGGGAAAUUCUCAGAAUAAAAUUGUAAAUAGCUCACAAGAAACAGUUUUAUCAAUGGCAGCACAGAAUUAUGAGUCUUCAGGAGCAACUACUACAAAGGGGAUUGCUGUAGUAUCACCCUUAAUUCUCUCAGAUGUCAAAACAUUGUCUGUCAAAGGUAUAACACCCGAAGCUUUACCUGAAACAAUGUAUCCAGUUAUUAAAGAAGGCAGUGUUUGUAGCUUACAAAACAAAUCGAUGGAAAAUACUGCUGCUUUGAACGUUAAUGAACCAGUGACAAGUACCACAAACACCAAGAUUUUCCCACUAAUUCAGAAGGAUAAGCAAAGUGAAUCAACUAAUACUAAUUCAGAAGUCACACCUAAUACCAAUCAAGGAAAGCAUAACAAAUCAGAACCAGAUAUCCAGUAUCCUGUGAGUAAUCAGCAAACCACAUAUAUAUCAAAGGACAGUGAUAUUGUGGGCAGAGAUGUAUUACAGAUUGGCAGUAUUUGUUCCCUUGUUGAAGGUGAUACCGCUUAUAAUUCCCAAAUAGCAAAGAUAUUCAACUUGCCCUCUUUGCAAAAGGUUGAGCCACAGAAACCUCUACCCAAUCACCAAGUAAUGAAUAAUAGACAAAAUGAACAAUUUGACAAUAUCACUGGAAAUAAAGACUUUGACUUUCAAAAAGAGAAUUUUGUACAGUGCACAGAUGUUUCACAUGAAAUAACUGAUCAGUUAGAGUCACUGCAACCUCCAGAACCAUCGACUUUGAAGUACAUUGGAGCAACGAGUGGAAUUCUUGAGGAAAGCAGUUUGGAGCAUAUCACUAAAAAUGAAAGCAUGGCUAAUGAUAUGUGUUCACCAGCUGCUAUUCAGCACGAUAGUUACCCUCAGGAAGCGGCCCAGGAUCCUACAACAAAUGAGAAUCUCAAAGAUAAGACAUCGAUCUUAUACCUACAUGAUCAGCUGUCAGAACUUUUAAAAGAGUUUCCCUAUGGUAUUGAACCUGUGAACAUGCAUGAAGGUUUUGUGGUCCAACAAAUGGCACACCGAAUCUCAAAAGCUCAAACUUGUGAUAAAACCAGUUGUGACUCCAAAGACUUAACAGACCAGAUACAAAUUACAAUAUUAAAUUCAGAGCAAAUGAAAGAAUUAUUUCCUGAACAGGAUGAUCAACCCAAUGAUGUAGACAAACUGACAGAGCCUCAGAAAGAAAAGCCUGUCACAAAAGAAGGGAACCAGUGUGACCCACAAGCACAUACAGUUGAAGAAACCUGUGAUUCUGUAAUACUGGAUUCAGAAAAAGAUGAUGUCCGUUGCUGUGCAUUGGGGUGGCUGUCUAUGGUUUAUGAAGGAGUACCUCAAUGCCAGUGUAAUUCCACUAAGAACUCAACUUCAAAGGAAGAAAAAGGGAAAGAUCCACAUUCUCCUUUGGAGACCAACGGUUAUAAACAAGGAGAGAGAACCUCUGACAGAGAUGUUCCUAUUGCAUUUAACAGUCUUCCAAAUAAUCAGCUGAAGAUUCCUCUGACUUGUCCAGUUGAGAAAAAACCUUUUCCUGAAACAGAGCAAGGCAGGAAUAUAAAAGAUAAAUCCAAAUCAGAACAUAACAGCUCAUUAAGGACAGAACAAGAAUUAUCUGGUCACUUUUUAUCUAAAGGUGAUAAAAAACCAGAUUCUUUGCAGAGUCACAAAAGAAAAAGAAAACUGCAAUUUCAUGAGAUAACUUUUCACUCCACUAACAAAAUUGCAAAAUUUUCUCAAGAGAGCCUGCAGAGGAAGCUCAUGGCACAAAACUUACGACCGCUAAAACCAAAGAUGGGUUUUUUGACAAGUAAAAAUAAAGAUUUGCAUGUGAAGAAUGGUUCUUUGGUACAGUCAGUAUCACCGGAAAAAAGAAAAUUGAAAGCAAGUGGCUCUAAACAAAAAGUUUUGGAAAAGAAGUUAGAUGAAGGGAGCAUACUUGAUUCAGAGAUAAAGAGGAAGAAGUAUGAUAAACAAGAGCAGAAUAAGAAUGUGGGAGGUGGUGCAUUUAAAUUCUGUAACCUUUUCUCAACCACAGGUGAAAGAGCCAGAAUUAAAGAAAAGACAGUGUCAAAUGUUAAGUCCUCAGGCUCUAUGGAUAGCUCAUCUAAAAUUAAUAGAGUUCUAUCACCAAAGGAGUAUUUAUCAAGGCAGAAGCAUAAAGAAGCAUUAAAGAAAAACUAUCUGAAAAAUGUACCAUGUGAUUCUCAGUAUAUGAGGUCCAAUAAACUUUCUACACGAGUGGGAAGUUGUGGGAGAUCAAAUGAGAGACACAAUGGCAGUGUACAGACCUCUAAGGAAUCAUUAAAUAUUGGUACAAGCCAUGGUAAAAACCUCAAAGCCCAUCAUUCCAAAGAGCCUAAAACAUACAUUUCAAGGAAUAUUAAAGGAACAGUUGGUGGAAAGCAACCUGAUAAAAUGUGGAUUGAUAAAACCAAAUUAGACAAAAAUUUAAGUAAUGUAAAUAAUGAUGUUGAAUUCAGCCAAAUGGCUUCCCAAGCAAAGGAUCAAAGGAAACUGUAUCUGAACAGAGUUGCAUUUAAAUGCACUGAACGUGAGCGCAUUUGUCUCACAAAAUUAGACAAUUCACCCAGGAAGCUUAAUAAAGAAAAGAGACCAGAAAAUAAACCUAAGACCCUUUUACCUGUGAAAGAUACCACAGAGAAACUAAGCAUGCUGGAGUUUAAAUUAUGUCCAGAUGGACUAUUUAAGAAUACAAACCCUGUUGAAGACCAGAAGGAUCUGCCAUCUACUCCUAGGAAGGAGCAAGCUCCUGUGCAAGUUUCAGGAAUAAAAAGUACAAAAGAAGACUGGUUAAAAUGUGUGACUGAGGAGAAAAGGAUGCCGGAAGCCAACCAAGAAAUAGGUAAAGCCGUCUGUUUAAGUUUUUAUUUUACUUACCUGGCACUCUGUCAUAUAUAAGCUGGAUUACAGUUAUGAAACUAUUGUGAAGUUUGGUUUUUAUCCAUAUUCUUUUAAAAAAUAGUUCAGUGUCUGUAUGAGUGGUAGGAAGACAUUCUCCUAUUUUUUCUGUCAUGCUGUGGACAGAGAAGUAGUGAUCUAUUUCCUUUUAACAAGAGAAUUCUCAUCACAGUGACUUAAGACAAGGGGUUGGCAUACUUCUUCUGUGUAGAUAGGUUUUGCAAAUCAUAAUGUCUCUCCUAAAUACUCUAACAUUGCAGUGAGAAGUGGCUGUAGAAUAAUGAGCUAUAGCAUGGGCUAUGUUCCAAUUAAACUUUACCAAAACUUGCUAGAGGCUGGGCUUGGCCCACAGGCAUACCCUGUUAGCCAACCCCUAGAUUAGAUUAUUUGCAAGUUAGUUAAUUAAAUUCUCAAAACCAGGGAGACAAAGAUGUUCCCAUUUAUCAAUGAGAGGUUAGAUCAUUUGGCUAAAGUUACAUAGCCAGUAACUCAAUAGGGACUUGAACCACUUCCCUGUCUUCAAAGUUUAUUAAGUGUGGAAUUUGAGUUAUUUUGAUGACGAAAGACUGAUGCUCCUAGUUUUUUGUUUUGUUUUGGUUUUGGGUUUUUUUUUGUUGUUGUUGUUGGGAAGGGUUUUGGGCUGAGGGCCAACCAGAAAACCAGAAUUUUUAGUAUCUGAUUUUUAAUUAGUGGAAUGAAUGUAUUUUGUGUUUUAGGGUUUUGCAUUGAGAACUGGAACCUAGGGUUCAGGAAUUUUAUUUUAGUUUUGGUUAAUUAAAUACACAAAGAAGAGUUCAUAAGAGUCUUGAAAAUUGGGAGAAGCAGAAUUUUGCCAGGAGCAACAAUAAAGAGAAGCAAGAGAAGAAGUGUGACAAAGGUUGAGAAGAGUUUAUAAAGAAUAUAUGUAAGCAGGCAUGUAGAAAUGGAGUCUUAUACAUUGAAGAUACAUAAAGGGAAAAAGAAACCUGAAUGAAAGAAUCGAAGGAAGAAGAAAUGUACACUCUUAAUUAGAACAGGAAGACAACUGAAAGAGGGGGAAAUGAAUUAGAGAGUAGAAAACACACCCCUACAGUUGGAACACAGGAAGUGAAAUAUGAGAAAGAUGGAAAUGGGUGUGGAGAUUGCAGCAAGAAAGUACCUUGGAAAAAGGGAGGGCCAUAAGUUUUGCCUCAGAGAGAGUUGAGAGGCAUAACUGGAAUCUGAAUCUGAAAAUACUCAGAAGACAGAUAUAUGCACAGGUUGACCAGAGGCUCAGGGAGCAGCAUGAGCUAAAUGACAGACAUGAAGAUACCUGCAGACAGGAUGAGCAAUAAACACUGAAGGUGGAACAUCAGUACUCAGGAUCACUAUGAAAAUGACACAAAGCAGGGCCCAGGCACAAUGAGAGAUGCAGCAGGGUGAGAGAAAAGCUAAGAAACAAGUCCAGAGCUCUGUCAAAAGUCUUACGAGACUCAGGGAAAUCAUGAAAGACAGAACAUACCAAGAGGAAGAGGCUGGAGAACUGGAACUCCCAGAGAGCUAUAAAAAACACACUUUAGAUAAGCGACACCUAAAUUUGGUGGCAAAGGUUGGAGCGUAGAUGGAGCAAGCCGUGAAACUCAGGGUGAGGUAGAAGAAGAGGAGGUGACAGAAUCCAGCGGAAAGCAGCUUAGAGCUGCUGCUCAGGUAUCAGCAUUCAUAACAGAAAGCUGAUGUGCACGGAGAGGAAUUUGAAACAGAUAAAGAAUUAAGAGUAACCAUCCUCUGUUACCAAAAAAAUAAAGAAAGAAGAGGACAGAGUGCUUGACCCACCCAGGCAGAAAAAGAUGAUAAUGUUUUGGCUAAUUCAAGACUCUCCAAGAGAAGUUUCAGUGCAGAUGGAUUUGAG